UCCGUAGGUGAACCUGCGGAAGGAUCAUUAUCGUUGGGGCUUCGGCCCCGUCGAGAUAGUACCCUUGCCAUUUAUUAGCGUACCUGUUCGUUUCCUCGGUGGGCUCGCCCGCCAAUGGGGACCAAAACUUAACUCUUGUAUCAUUGUCAUUUAGUCUGAAUAAAAAUUAAAAAUUAAAACUUUCAACAACGGAUCUCUUGGUUCUGGCAUCGAUGAAGAACGCAGCGAAAUGCGAUAAGUAGUGUGAAUUGCAGAAUUCAGUGAAUCAUCGAGUCUUUGAACGCACAUUGCGCCUUUUGGUAUUCCGAGAGGCACGUCUGUUUGAGCGUCAGCAAAACCUUCCGGCCCCCGGUUUGUUCCGGGAAGCUCGGGCGUGCUGGCGCGGGGACUGGCCGCCGCGCUUCGGUGCGGGCGGGCCUUCCCCCGCUUAAAGGUGUGGAAGCUAGCGGGGUGUGCCCCGGAUCACGACGACUCGUAAGCUUUUUUACCGUCGAAGUCAAUCCGGACGCCCCGCCUCACAAACACUGGCCGUUUUUUCCGGCCUUGAACCCUUGACCUCAGAUCAGACGAGGGGAUACCCGCUGGAACUUAAGGGCAUAUCAAUUAAGGCGGGAGGGAAGGUCGGACU
rnacentral:rRNA from 1 species